GAUCCUACGGGAGGCAGCAGUGAGGAAUAUUGGUCAAUGGCCGGAAGGCUGAACCAGCCAAGCCGCGUGAAGGACGAAGGUGCCAAGCAUUGUAAACUUCUUUUGUCAAGGGACAAAAUCAGGCUCGAGAGCCUGACCGAGGGUACUUGAAGAAAAAGCAUCGGCUAACUCCGUGCCAGCAGCCGCGGUAAUACGUAGGUGGCAAGCGUUGUCCGGAAUUACUGGGUGUAAAGGGAGCGUAGGCGGGAAGCCAAGUCAGCUGUGAAAACUACGGGCUUAACCUGUAGACUGCAGUUGAAACUGGC
rnacentral:rRNA from 1 species